rnacentral:tRNA from 1 species
AAGGGAGACCUAAUUCAGGUAAAAGACGAAAAAAAAGUAGUCGCUACCAAGAAUCAAUCCCAAAAGGUCGGAGCGAGGCGAAAUUGGCUUUCAAACUAGGUUCUGGGUUCAAACAAGACCUGAAUCAGGAACAAGGGCUAUUAGCUCAGGUGGUUAGAGCGCACCCCUGAUAAGGGUGAGGUCCCUGGUUCGAGUCCAGGAUGGCCCACCUGUACAGGUGGCAAAAAGAAAGAAAAGAAGCGAGGAAUCAGCACCUUAUCUUACUGACAUAGUAAGAGAGAAUGCUGGCUCUGAGUAAAGAGUCCAGAGGAACCUUGAAAACUGCAUAGAGCUAGGUGAAAAAGCCAAAAAAGAAGACCGCAAGGUCAAGCUAAUAAGGGCUAACGGUGGAUACCUAGGCAC